UACGUAGGCAGCAAGCGUUGUUCGGAUUUACUGGGCGUAAAGGGCGCGCAGGCGGUUCUGUUUGUCGAGUGUGAAAGCCCCGGGCUCAACCUGGGAACUGCGCUCGAAACGGCGGAACUAGAGUUCGGGAGAGGAGAGUGGAAUUCCCAGUGUAGAGGUGAAAUUCGUAGAUAUUGGGAAGAACACCGGUGGCGAAGGCGGCUCUCUGGACCGAUACUGACGCUGAGGCGCGAAAGCGUGGGGAGCAAACGGG
rnacentral:rRNA from 1 species